GUCCAGGUAGCUCAGUCGGUAGAGCAGUGGAUUGAAAAUCCACGUGUCGACAGUUCGAUUCUGUCCCUGGACA
rnacentral:tRNA from 1 species